CAUAGUUAAAUUAUUUAUUUUUAGAACCAAAUAACACAAAUAAGAUAAAGACUAAAGGGUUGCAGUCUGUGUUGAUGAGUUUUCAGAUUCUUUCUCGAAGUUGCAUCGUUGCGCCAGUAGGUGGCGUCAAGUGAGUGAAUCUUUGAAUCAUUCGAAUCAUGGACUCAACAGAUUCACUUAAUAUAGGAAUGAAACACCACUACGAUGUGUACUCGACGACUGAUUAAAACAGUUCACUGGUGAAGCAGAAAUAUUCAGACUUAACAACUAUACAAUAUCGUAUCUAAAAUGGCCUGUCCAUGCCUGUUAUUGUGCCCGGUUGUGGAUCUUUCUAUCAGGCUGGCGAUGUUUACAGG